AAACCAUGUAAGAGUUGGUUUGGAUAAAUAUGCGAAGGACAAUAAAUGUUAAGUGACCCAAAGACGGUUGGUCUUGUGGACAACGAGGAACAAACCGCCUAAAGGCGGUUGGAAAGCGUUUCCAGCACAAAUACUCAACGUGAACGAGAGCCUUGGGUAAAAAAAGGCAGAGUACCAGUCAGUGGUUAAAGACACACAAAAUGUGGACAUCAAAACAAAUGGCUACAUUUGCUCGUGAGGAAGAUGAUAACGAAGAGGAUGAGACUCCUUCAAACCAUAAGAUAGUGGAUGAUUCACACUCAACUGCAAAGCAAUGAAAGAACACAUCUGUCACUAAAUUGAACCCAGUCACCUUGGAUUAUGCCCCAAAGUGUGAGAAUUACAAGAAACUCACCAGAACUGUGAUGGACUCCAUUUCCACCUUAGAAAAAAUGACAACAUGCUCCGUCACAGGGAAAAAAGGGACCACUGGUGAACAAAGACAGAGUCCUGACAGAGAAAGUGAAGCUAGUAAUAGGAAGUGAUACUAAACUCGAUGGAAAAGCUAACCACGCCAAAGUGAGGGAGCCUGCUGGAAGAGAAUCUGAGGACUGAUGCACAUAUAACAAUGGACAUGCAUAAAGACACAUCUCUCUCUCUCUCUCUCUCUCUCUC